rnacentral:rRNA from 1 species
UACGAAGGGGGCUAGCGUUGCUCGGAAUCACUGGGCGUAAAAGCGCACGUAGGCGGGUCUUUAAGUCAGGGGUGAAAAUCCCCGGAGCUCAACUCCGGACUGCCUUUGAUACUGGCGAUCUAGAGAUCGAGAGAGGUGAGUGGAAUUCCGAGUGUAGAGGUGAAAUUCGUAGAUAUUCGGAAGAACACCAGUGGCGAAAGGCGGCUCACUGGCUCGAUACUGACGCUGAGGUGCGAAAGCGUGGGGAGCAAACAGG